rnacentral:rRNA from 1 species
UACGUAGGGGGCGAGCGUUGUCCGGAGUUACUGGGCGUAAAGGGCGCGCAGGCGGUCUGGUAAGUUUGGAGUGACAGUGCUCGGCUUAACUGAGCAAGGCCUUCGAAAACUGCUAGACUUGAGCACUCAAGAGGGACAUAGAAUUCCGGGUGGAGUGGUGAAAUGCGUAGAUAUCCGGAGGAAUACCAAAGGCGAAGGCAGUGUCCUGGGGAGUGGUCUGACGCUCAGGCGCGAAAGCUAGGGGAGCGAACGAGG